CCAAUAGCGUAUAUUAAAGUUGUUGCAGUUAAAAAGCUCGUAGUUGAAUUUCGGGGUUAGUAGGUUGGUCAUGCCUCUGGUAUGUACUGGUCUCACUGAUUCCUCCUUCCUGAUGAGCCGUAAUGCCAUUAAUUUGGUGUUGCGGGGAAUUUGGACUGUUACUUUGAAAAAAUUAGAGUGUUUAAAGCAGGCAUUUUUGCUUGAAUACAUUAGCAUGGAAUAAUAAAAUAGGACGGCAUGGUUCUAUUUUGUUGGUUUCUAGGACCACCGUAAUGAUUAAUAGGGAUAGUUGGGGGCAUUAGUAUUCAAUUGUCAGAGGUGAAAUUCUUGGAUUUAUUGAAGACUAACUACUGCGAAAGCAUUUGCCAAGGAUGUUUUCAUUAAUCAAGAACGAAAGUUAGGGGAUCGAAGACGAUCAGAUACCGUCGUAGUCUUAACCAUAAACUAUGCCGACUAGGAAUCAGACGAUGUUAAUUUUUUAAUGACUCGUUUGGCACCUUACG
rnacentral:rRNA from 1 species